GAUGAACGCUAGCUACAGGCUUAACACAUGCAAGUCGUGGGGCAUCAUGAUGUAGUAAUACAUUGAUGGCGACCGGCGCACGGGUGAGUAACGCGUAUCCAACCUACCCUCCACUCAAGUAUAGGCUUCCGAAAGGGAGAUUAAUCCUUGAUAUCGUCAUUCUCUCUCCUGUUAGAAUGAUAAAAGGACAUCGUUUCGGUAGAGGAUGGGGAUGCGUUCCAUUAGGUAGUAGGCGGUUUAACAGGCCACCUAGCCGAUGAUGGAUAGGGGUUCUGAGAGGAAUAUCCCCCACACUGGUACUGAGAUACGGACCAGACUCCUACGGGAGGCAGCAGUGAGGAAUAUUGGUCAAUGGGCGCAAGCCUGAACCAGCCAUGUAGCGUGAAGGAUGACGGUUUUUUUGAUUGUAAACUUCUUUUCUGUGCGAUUAAAGUGUGGCAUUUAU
rnacentral:rRNA from 1 species